AGUGAACGUUGGCGGCGUGGAUUAGGCAUGCGAGUCGAGCGAGAACCGUAGCAAUACGGGGACAGCGGCGAAAGGGACAGUAAUAUGUAGGUACCUACCCUCGGGUCCGGGAUAGCUGCGGGAAACUGCAGGUAAUACCGGAUGACAUCUCCGGAUCAAAGGUGUGAUUCCGCCCGGGGAGGGGCCUGCAUCCUAUUAGCUUGUUGGUGGGGUAACGGCCUACCAAGGCGACGAUGGGUAGCGGGUGUGAGAGCAUGACCCGCGUCAUUGGGACUGAGACACUGCCCAGACACCUACGGGUGGCUGCAGUCGAGAAUCUUCGGCAAUGGGGGCAACCCUGACCGAGCGACGCCGCGUGCGGGAUGAAGGCCUUCGGGUUGUAAACCGCUGUCGUAGAGGAGGAAAUGCAGGGGGGUUCUCCCCUCUGUUUGACCUAUUCUAGGAGGAAGGACGGGCUAAGUUCGUGCCAGCAGCCGCAGUAA
rnacentral:rRNA from 1 species